AGCUGAGCAGUCCACUGCGAGGUGCGUGUGCCUUGUUUCCUUACUAUAUGUCGGCUGCCCAAGUGGCUGGUGUGCUCGAUCCACUCAUCCAAAAUACGUUGCGCAGCUGGCGUUGGCGGCUGCAGUUGGAGGUUGGUGCGGCGGGCGGCUUCCAUCCAGCCCUCGCCUGCUGAUCUGCUCCCUCCCUGGUCGGCUGUGUCACCACAUCUGGGAUUCUUUCGGAGUCGCAGCGCUCGGACGCUCCUGCUGUCUCGUCUUGUCUUGCCGGUUUUGUUUGGGCCGCUCUCGACGGAGCCUGAUGACGCUUGGGCUGGCCGAACGAGCGGGGCACGACUCCUCUGGCCCCGUGAAAGGACAUUAGAAGUCGGACAACGAAAUUUGUCCCAUCGUUUGCAGUGGUUGUGUUCUUUUCUUUGCCGUUUGUUUGCUUAUUAUUUAAAUUACUAAUUUGUUUGCUUUCCUUUGUUUUGAUGUACUAAUUUGUUUUCUUUUGCAUUGCAUGUUUUGUUUGUUCAUUCAUUUUUUGGGAAUAAUUUAUAUUGUCCUUAUUUUGAUGCCUUUUCCUUCUAGGGGCUGAGUAGUGCCUGAGGCCAUGUUUUAAAAGAAAAAUGUUUUAAUGAAAUUGGUUAAUAAAUCAUUGUAGACUACUCCGUGCUCUGGUGCGUCUUGUCUAAAAAGAUCAACCCCCCUCUGCUGGUCACACUAUGUUUCAACAGAUUCCGGAAGUAACACUGAAAUUAAUAUUAAAAUUAUUUAAUAAAAUAUGGAAAGAAGGAUCGAUACCAAAUAGUUGGAAAAGGGCAAUAGGGGGGGGGGGUUGUCUAAAAAGAUCAACCCCCCUCUGCUGGUCACACUAUGUUUCGACAGAUUCCGGAAGUAACACUGAAAUUAAUAUUAAAAUUAUUUAAUAAAAUAUGGAAAGAAGGAUCGAUACCAAAUAGUUGGAAAAGGGCAAUAAUUUUACCAUUUAAUAAGCCAGGUAAAGAUCCUACCUGUCCAAAUAAUUACAGACCAAUUGCUCUUGCUUAUCAUUUAAGUAAAUGGAUGAAGAAAAUGAUGGUUAAUAGAUUAGGAUACUUUCUUGAGAAGAAUAAUCUAAUUAAUGGAUAUCGAUGUGGAUUCAGAACAGGAAGAUCAAAAAUGGACGCUCUAACUAGAGUCAGUAAUGACAUAGAGAAAGCUUUAAAAAUGAAGGAAAUAAGGAUUAUAGUAUUUUUUGACAAAGAAAAAGCAUAUGACUCACUAUGGAAAGAAGGAUUACUUAUAAAAAUGAAACAGGUGGGAAUGUAUAAUUGGAUAGCAAAUUUUCUGCUAGAUGUAAAAAUUGGGAAUGAUUAUUCAAAUGAAUAUAAUGUUGAAAAUGGUAAAAUGUAAAUGGUAGUGAUGGUGAGAUGAAGCCUCACAUGAGGCAUUGUACCACUUGAGCCAAAUGGUUCGAGAAAGG